rnacentral:misc_RNA from 1 species
GAUGAAGAACGUAGCGAAAUGCGAUAAGUAAUGUGAAUUGCAGAAUUCAGUGAAUCAUCGAAUCUUUGAACGCACAUUGCGCCCCCUGGUAUUCCGGGGGGCAUGCCUGUUCGAGCGUCAUUUCACCACUCAAGCCUCGCUUGGUAUUGGGCAACGCGGUCCGCCGCGCGCCUCAAAUCGACCGGCUGGGUCUUCCGUCCCCUCAGCGUUGUGGAAACUAUUCGCUAAAGGGUGCCGCGGGAGGUCACGCCGCAAAACAACCCCAUUUCUAAGGUUGACCUCGGAUCAGGUAGGGAUACCCGCUGAACUUAAGCAUAUCAAUAAGCGGAGGA